rnacentral:rRNA from 1 species
AGAUUGAACGCUGGCGGCAGGCCUAACACAUGCAAGUCGAGCGGUAGAGAGGUGCUUGCAUCUCUUGAGAGCGGCGGGCGGGUGAGUAAUGCCUAGGAAUCUGCCUAGUGGUGGGGGAUAACGUUCGGAAACGGACGCUAAUACCGCAUACGUCCUACGGGAGAAAGCGGGGGACCUUCGGGCCUCGCGCCAUUAGAUGAGCCUAGGUCGGAUUAGCUAGUUGGUGAGGUAAUGGCUCACCAAGGCGACGAUCCGUAACUGGUCUGAGAGGAUGAUCAGUCACACUGGAACUGAGACACGGUCCAGACUCCUACGGGAGGCAGCAGUGGGAAUAUUGGACAAUGGGACGAAAGCCUGAUCCAAGCCAAUGCCGCGUGUGUGAAGAAGGUCUCGGAUUGUAAAGCAACUUUAAGUUGGGAAGGAAGGUUUAGUAACUUAAAUUACGUUGACUAAUUUGACGUUAACCGACAAGAAUAAGACACCGACUAACUCGCGACCAGCAGCCGUACG